CCCAAGCCCCUCCCGUCCCCUCAGGUUCACUUUUCCGCCUGGACGGAGCCUGGGAGAGCACAGGUGCCUCCCCGCGGCCCCACUGGGGCCAGGACAGGCCUCGGCGGACCCUGGAGGGACUCUGCGCCCCUGGCUUCCCGGGCCCCUUGUGCCCCGCGGGGCUCCCUCUCGCUGCCCUCCUGGUCUCGGCCCUCACGUCUGCCAGGCCAGGGCCUGGACUCAGAGGCCUGGAGCCUGCCCGCAGCCUCCGCCGGGCCAGCUGGGUCCGCGUCCUCGCCUCUCGGGCCUCCGCCUGCGCCGCCUCCUGAGUGGCCCCGGGAGAGCCUGAGAGCAGGGCAGACAGCGGGAGGGGCAGCCCAGGGACAGGACUCACCGGGGACUGCCCCCCGGGCUGCGGGCAAGGGUGAGCGCCGCCGUGGUGCCUUUGCUGCCCCCCCCCCCGGAGCCACCUGGAGAACCUACCCCACCAACGACUGUGCAGGGAUCGGGCCAGCACCUGGGGCUCUGCGCCAGGGCCGCUCCUCACUGGGAUUCGCUGCCAAGAGACACGCGGAGCACCGCGGCCUCCCAGACCUUGGCCAUCCGCGCACACCUCAGGCCUCCAUCCAGGGGCUCAGUGAGGCCAAGGCCAGAGCUUGCUCAGCAGCUACCCAGGGAGCCACGUUUCAUUCCCUCUGGACUUCCCACGCCCGAGGCCUGUGGACGUGGCUAGUGGGGCCACUUCCCGAGGAGGACUCUCUAGAUCCAGUUCUUCCCAAGGCCUCAUGGUCGGCAAAGAAUUCCUCACCUCUGGAUUUCAAGCUAAGCCAUAGGACUCACUUUGGCCACUGGGAUGUUGGUGAGUGAGACACAAGCUAACUGUAAAAUUGUCCUUGCCUGGUUGGGCUUCUUCUCUUGUGCACCUGCCUUUGGCCCCAUGAAGAGAAUGUCCAGCCCAGGUGGCUCAGCGGUUUAGCGCUGCCUUCAGCUGAGGGCAUGAUUCUGGAGAAUCCCAUGUCAGGCUUCCUGCAAGGAGCCUGCUUCUCCCUCUGCCUGUGUCUCUGCCUCUCUCUCUCUCUCUCUCUCUCUCAUGAAUAAAUAAAAUCUAACAAAAAAAAAAAAAAAAGAAAAAAAAAAGAAAAAAGAAAAAAGAAAAAAAGAGAAAAAGAGAGAGAGAAUGCCCAGGAUAGACACUGGCCCUCGGGGAGUGAGAUAUGCAUGGAGCAGGCCUGGAGCCAAAACACAGGCCAGCUGAAUCCAGCCCCCCAACCAACCCCUAGAUAUGUGUAUGAGAAAUAACCACCAAUUGUUGCAUGAAUUUUGGAACUGUUAUACACUAUUGGAUAGUCAUUGACUCAAGAAGACACAUGGUGUAAAAAUAUUUUUUCAAGACCAUGUGAAGCAGGGGCACCUGGGUGGCUCAGUGGGAGCAUUGCCUUUGUCAGGUUCAGAGCCCAGGGUCCUAGGAUCAAAUCUUGCAUUGGGCUCCUGGUGGGGAACUGUUUCUCCCUCUGCCUAGGCCUCUGCCUCUCUCUGUGUGUCUCUCAUGAAUAAAAUCUUAAAAAAAAAAAAGAACAUGUUAAGCUACUUAAAUUUUUUGAGCAUUUGAGCACUUGUAAGAAAUACUACAAAGAAAAAGACAGAGUGAUCAAUAAAAUAUCAGCUAGUGGAAUGAUCUUAGGGUAGAGGAGGAGAUAGGAUUGUGGGGAGUACUAAGGAGAUGUAAGGAGAUGAAGGGGUAGCAAAAAUGAAGGAUAGUGUUGUUGUGCAUUUUCUUACGCUAACCUG
rnacentral:lncRNA from 1 species